GCCGGGAUGGGGUAGCCUGGUAUCCUGUGGGACUGUGGAUCCCUAGACCCGAGUUCAAAUCUCGGUCCCGGCCCCA
rnacentral:tRNA from 1 species